AGAAUGAACGCUGGCGGCGUGCUUAACACAUGCAAGUCGAACGAGAACUCUUCUGCUUGCAGAAGAUAGUAAAGUGGCGCACGGGUGAGUAACGCGUGGGUAAUCUACCUCUGAAUUGGGGAUAACAUUGCGAAAGUGAUGCUAAUACCGAAUAAUAUCCUAAGAAUUCAGGUUUUUUGGAUCAAAGGUGGCUUCUACAUGUAAGCUACUGUUUGGAGAUGAGCCCGCGUACCAUUAGCUUGUUGGUAGGGUAAUGGCCUACCAAGGCAACGAUGGUUAGCUGGUCUGAGAGGAUGAUCAGCCACACUGGAACUGACACACGGUCCAGACUCCUACGGGAGGCAGCAGUGAGGAAUUUUGCGCAAUGGGGGAAACCCUGACGCAGCAACGCCGCGUGAGUGAUGAAGGCUUUCGAGUCGUAAAGCUCUGUCAAGUGAGAAGAAUCUGCUUUUUGUUAAUACCACUAAGCACUGACGGUAUCACUGAAGGAAGCACCGGCUAACUCCGUGCCAGCAGCCGCGGUAAUACGGAGGGUGCAAGCGUUAUUCGGAAUCAUUGGGCGUAAAGGGCGCGCAGGCGGUCUUUUAAGUCAGAUGUGAAAGCCCGGGGCUCAACCCCGGAAGUGCAUUUGAAACUGAAAGACUUGAGUAUGGGAGAGGGAAGUGGAAUUCCUGGUGUAGAGGUGAAAUUCGUAGAUAUCAGGAGGAACACCGGUGGCGAAGGCGACUUCCUGGACCAAUACUGACGCUGA
rnacentral:rRNA from 1 species